GGCGAACGCUGGCGGCGUGCUUAACACAUGCAAGUCGAACGGAAAGGCCCUGCUUUUGUGGGGUGCUCGAGUGGCGAACGGGUGAGUAACACGUGAGUAACCUGCCCUUGACUUUGGGAUAACUUCAGGAAACUUGGGCUCAUACCGGAUAGGAGCUCCUGCUGCAUGGUGGGGGUUGGAUAGUUUCGGCGGUUGGGGAUGGACUCGCGGCUUAUCAGCUUGUUGGUGGGGUAGUGGCUUACCAAGGCUUUGACGGGUAGCCGGCCUGAGAGGGUGACCGGCCACAUGGGGACUGAGAUACGGCCCAGACUGCUACGGGAGGCAGCAGGGGGGAAUAUUGCACAAUGGGCGGAAGCCUGAGGCAGCAAAGCAGAGUGCGGGAUGACGGCCUUCGGGUUGUAAACCGCUUUCGCCUGUGACGAAGCGUGAGUGACGGUAAUGGGUAAAGAAGCACCGGCUAACUACGUG
rnacentral:rRNA from 1 species